rnacentral:rRNA from 1 species
UGGGGAAUAUUGCACAAUGGGCGCAAGCCUGAUGCAGCCAUGCCGCGUGUGUGAAGAAGGCCUUCGGGUUGUAAAGCACUUUCAGCGGGGAGGAAGGCGUUAAGGUUAAUAACCUUGGCGAUUGACGUUACCCGCAGAAGAAGCACCGGCUAACUCCGUGCCAGCAGCCGCGGUAAUACGGAGGGUGCAAGCGUUAAUCGGAAUUACUGGGCGUAAAGCGCACGCAGGCGGUCUGUCAAGUCGGAUGUGAAAUCCCCGGGCUCAACCUGGGAAAUGCAUUCGAAACUGGCAGACUAGAGUCUUGUAGAGGGGGGUAGAAUUCCAGGUGUAGCGGUGAAAUGCGUAGAGAUCUGGAGGAAUACCGGUGGCGAAGGCGGCCCCCUGGACAAAGACUGACGCUCAGGUGCGAAAGCGUGGGGAGCAAACAGG